GUGAGGAAUAUUGGUCAAUGGGCGGGAGCCUGAACCAGCCAAGUCGCGUGAAGGAAGAAGGAUCUAUGGUUCGUAAACUUCUUUUGCAGGGGAAUAAAGUGCGGGACGUGUCCUGUUUUGUAUGUACCCUGAGAAUAAGGAUCGGCUAACUCCGUGCCAGCAGCCGCGGUAAUACGGAGGAUCCGAGCGUUAUCCGGAUUUAUUGGGUUUAAAGGGUGCGUAGGUGGGUUGAUAAGUCAGCGGUGAAAGUUUGCAGCUUAACUGUAAAAAUGCCGUUGAAACUGUCGGACUUGAGUGUAAAUGAGGUAGGCGGAAUGCGUGGUGUAGCGGUGAAAUGCAUAGAUAUCACGCAGAACUCCGAUUGCGAAGGCAGCUUACUAAGCUACAACUGACACUGAAGCACGAAAGCGUGGGGAUCAAACAGGAUUAGAAACCCGUGUAGUCC
rnacentral:rRNA from 1 species